rnacentral:rRNA from 1 species
CUUUCCUACGGGAGGCAGCAGUCGGGAAUAUUGCGCAAUGGAGGAAACUCUGACGCAGUGACGCCGCGUAUAGGAAGAAGGUUUUCGGAUUGUAAACUAUUGUCAUUAGGGAAGAAAAAAGACAGUACCUAAAGAGGAAGCUCCGGCUAACUACGUGCCAGCAGCCGCGGUAAUACGGAGGAUGCGAGCGUUAUCCGGAUUUAUUGGGUUUAAAGGGUGCGUAGGCGGAUUUUUAAGUCAGCGGUAAAAUGUCCGGGCUCAACCCGGGCCGGCCGUUGAAACUGGGGAUCUUGAGUGGGCGAGAA